AAUGAACGCUGGCGGCGUGCUUAACACAUGCAAGUCGAGCGAGAAAGCCUCUUCGGAGGUAAGUAAAGCGGCGGACGAGUGAGUAAUACGCGAGAACCUACCCUUUAGUGAGGAAUACCCUCGAGAAAUUGAGGCUAAUACUGCAUAAGUCCCUACGGGGAGAAAGGCAACUUCAUGUUGUCGCUAAUGGAUGGGCUUGCGGGCUAUCAGCUAGUUGGUGAGGUAAUGGCUCACCAAGGCUAUGACGGCUAACCGGCCUGAGAGGGUGUACGGUCACGUUGGAACUGAGAUACGGUCCAAACUCCUACGGGAGGCAG
rnacentral:rRNA from 1 species